rnacentral:rRNA from 1 species
AAACGGGUGCGGAACACGUACACAACCUUCCUAUAAGUGGGGGAUAGCCCAGAGAAAUUUGGAUUAAUACCCCGUAACAUUAUUUAGUGGCAUCAUUAGAUAAUUAAAGCUCCGGCGCUUAUUGAUGGGUGUGCGUCUGAUUAGGUAGUUGGCGGGGUAACGGCCCACCAAGCCUUCGAUCAGUAACUGGUGUGAGAGCACGACCAGUCACACGGGCACUGAGACACGGGCCCG